CAAGAGGAGAGACCCGAAGCGGCCGCCGGUCCGCGUGUCAGGUGAACUGAACUUCAGACUGCACACUGACGACCGUCUACCUACAUCACUACAAUCAACAUCUACACGAUGUGUCAGGGCGAUCGCUGUGUGGAUGUGGAGAAGAGGACGGGAGGACCCAAACGCAGGACUCACGGUGUUCCUGAAUCUGUGGACUCAGUGGCGAGAAGACCAAAGUCCUUACUACUGACGAGCACCAGCCACCGUGCAUCUCGAAGGCGUGCAAAUCGAACAAGUGCAGGUGUGACGCCCACAAGUGUAUGGUCACAAGUGUAAUUUUUUAAAAACCUUUAUUGAUGUAAAAGACCUGAUUUAAUGGUGGUAUUGCACUUUCAU